GCUGAUGUAGCUCAGCAGGCAGAGCACUCCCUUGGUAAGGGAGAGGUUCACGAGUUCGAGCCUCGUCAUCAGCUCCA
rnacentral:tRNA from 1 species